rnacentral:rRNA from 1 species
GCACAUGCUGUGAGCUCGAUGAGUAGGGCGGGACACGUGGUAUCCUGUCUGAAUAUGGGGGGACCAUCCUCCAAGGCUAAAUACUCCUGACUGACCGAUAGUGAACCAGUACCGUGAGGGAAAGGCGAAAAGAACCCCGGCGAGGGGAGUGAAAAAGAACCUGAAACCGUGUACGUACAAGCAGUGGGAGCACGCUUAGGCGUGUGACUGCGUACCUUUUGUAUAAUGGGUCAGCGACUUAUAUUCUGUAGCAAGGUUAACCGAAUAGGGGAGCCGAAGGGAAACCGAGUCUUAACUGGGCGUUAAGUUGCAGGGUAUAGACCCGAAACCCGGUGAUCUAGCCAUGGGCAGGUUGAAGGUUGGGUAACACUAACUGGAGGACCGAACCGACUAAUGUUGAAAAAUUAGCGGAUGACUUGUGGCUGGGGGUGAAAGGCCAAUCAAACCGGGAGAUAGCUGGUUCUCCCCGAAAGCUAUUUAGGUAGCGCCUCGUGAAUUCAUCUCCGGGGGUAGAGCACUGUUUCGGCAAGGGGGUCAUCCCGACUUACCAACCCGAUGCAAACUGCGAAUACCGGAGAAUGUUAUCACGGGAGACACACGGCGGGUGCUAACGUCCGUCGUGAAGAGGGAAACAACCCAGACCGCCAGCUAAGGUCCCAAAGUCAUGGUUAAGUGGGAAACGAUGUGGGAAGGCCCAGACAGCCAGGAUGUUGGCUUAGAAGCAGCCAUCAUUUAAAGAAAGCGUAAUAGCUCACUGGUCGAGUCGGCCUGCGCGGAAGAUGUAACGGGGCUAAACCAUGCACCGAAGCUGCGGCAGCGACGCUUAUGCGUUGUUGGGUAGGGGAGCGUUCUGUAAGCCUGCGAAGGUGUGCUGUGAGGCAUGCUGGAGGUAUCAGAAGUGCGAAUGCUGACAUAAGUAACGAUAAAGCGGGUGAAAAGCCCGCUCGCCGGAAGACCAAGGGUUCCUGUCCAACGUUAAUCGGGGCAGGGUGAGUCGACCCCUAAGGCGAGGCCGAAAGGCGUAGUCGAUGGGAAACAGGUUAAUAUUCCUGUACUUGGUGUUACUGCGAAGGGGGGACGGAGAAGGCUAUGUUGGCCGGGCGACGGUUGUCCCGGUUUAAGCGUGUAGGCUGGUUUUCCAGGCAAAUCCGGAAAAUCAAGGCUGAGGCGUGAUGACGAGGCACUACGGUGCUGAAGCAACAAAUGCCCUGCUUCCAGGAAAAGCCUCUAAGCAUCAGGUAACAUCAAAUCGUACCCCAAACCGACACAGGUGGUCAGGUAGAGAAUACCAAGGCGCUUGAGAGAACUCGGGUGAAGGAACUAGGCAAAAUGGUGCCGUAACUUCGGGAGAAGGCACGCUGAUAUGUAGGUGAAGUCCCUCGCGGAUGGAGCUGAAAUCAGUCGAAGAUACCAGCUGGCUGCAACUGUUUAUUAAAAACACAGCACUGUGCAAACACGAAAGUGGACGUAUACGGUGUGACGCCUGCCCGGUGCCGGAAGGUUAAUUGAUGGGGUUAGCGCAAGCGAAGCUCUUGAUCGAAGCCCCGGUAAACGG